UAUAGGUUUCUUGUAUUUAAUGCUUUAUAAAAUUUCUUAAACUUUACAAACCCUAGCCGUCUCACACUUUAUCUCACUUCCCAUUUCAGAUUUCAAACACUCCUCCGCUGCUUCCUCUCUCUGCCUUUGCUUCCUCAGCCCCUCUCUCUCUCUCUCUCUCUCUCUCUCUCUCCUUCCUCUCUUCCUCCAAAUCACUCUCUCUCCAGUCUUCUCAUGUCCUCCUCACGGAUUCCUUCUUCCAAACCAUGAUUUUCCCUCGCCCCUUUCGAAUCAGAACCCCCUUUAAAUUGAAAGAUUCGAAUCCGGGUUUUCCGAUCUCUCACAGAUUUGUUCCAGUUCGUAUUCAUUUGCAGAUUUCUUCCAGUGCAGAUUUGCAGAUUUGUUACAGUUCAUAUUCAUUUGCACCAACACCCAAUAAGUUUCUGCAUCUUCAGUGCUCGCAAUCAAUCGUUGCAGAUUUGUUCCAAAUUAAAAAAAAA